rnacentral:rRNA from 1 species
GACGAACGCUGGCGGCGUGCUUAACACAUGCAAGUCGAACGAAGUGGCGGACGGGUGAGUGACGCGUAAUCAACCUGCCCUUCAGAGGGGGACAACAGUUGGAAACGACUCCUAAUACCGCAUACUGAUGGACGGGCUUGCGUCUGAUUAGCUAGUUGGGGGGGGAACGACCCACCAAGGCGAUGAUCAGGAGCCGGUCGGAGAGGAUGAACUGCCACAUUGGGAGUGAGACACGGCCCAGACUCCUACGGGAGGCAGCAGUGGGGAAUCUUGCGCAAUGGGCGAAAGUCUGACGGAGCAACGCCGCGUGAGUGAUGACGGCCUUCGGGUUGUAAAGGUCUGUUAAUCGGGACGCGGUACCGGAAUAGAAAGCAACGGCUAACUACGUGCCAGCCGCCGCGGUAAUAC